rnacentral:rRNA from 1 species
GUGCCAGCAGCCGCGGUAAUACGUAGGCAGCGAGCGUUGUUCGGAGUUACUGGGCGUAAAGGGUGUGUAGGCGGUUCUCUAAGUUUGGUGUGAAAUCUCCCGGCUCAACCGGGAGGGUGCGCCGAAAACUGGAGGGCUAGAGUGCGGGAAGGGAGAGUAGAAUUCCUGGUGUAGCGGUGAAAUGCGUAGAUAUCAGGAGGAAUACCGGUGGUGCAGACGGCUCUCUGGACCGCGACUGACGCUGAGACACGAAAGCGUGGGUAGCAAACAGGAUUAGAUACCCUCGUAGUCC